UAAACUUGCAAAUUUUUUUAUUCUUUUAAAUUUUAUUUUUCUACAAUUUUUUUCCUUUUUAGAUUUAGGAGUGCUUUUCUUUUUUCUCUUACUUUAAAAUGUGUUUACAUUUUUUCCUUGUAAUUUGGGUUUGAUAAAACAUCGAUUAACGACACUUUUUUGUCGAUCCAGGAAACCGGGAAAUUAAGACAUCCGGGAUAGCGAUGGUCCCGAGCAUCCCGGAUAAUUGGUUCUUUAUUGUACAGACAUUAGUAUUGAAUUGGUUUUUUAAAAUAAAAUACUUAUUCAAUUUGUUUAUUUUUUAAAAGUUUUUGUGUAUUUUUAUUACAGUGUCGGGUUUUUGAAUAAUGUUUUAUUAAGGAAAUGGUAUUUAUUUAAAGAGUAUCUACCUAAUAUAGUUUUGUGUUGCUAAAUCUGUGUUUAAUUAUUUUAUUUCCAUUUAAUAUUUUUAAACAAUUAUUGCUCUAUUAGUGUGUAAAAUUUCUUGCAUUCUUAUAUUUAAUAAAUUUUUUACUUAAAAUUCCUUAGAAGUGCCAAAUGUUGCAUACCAUGCACCUUUUUUUACCCCUCCUGAAAUCUCCUGAAUUCUUGUUAGGGAAACUCCUGAAUGUUAAUUUUGCUAGGUUGGCUGGCACGUCUGCAUUUCAUAUCUUCAUCAAACUUAACCAGCCACUCAUUAAAUAUUCCAGUCGUCAUCUACGCUUUGCGGCUAGAUCUAUAAUCAUAAGGUAGUGAAUUUACAUUUUUUAGGCACCUAGGUUUGGCAGAUUUGCCGAUAACCAUAACUUUUCUCUUUUCAGUGCCUGACAUAUUGCAGCAAAACAAAGCAGUUAAACGCAGUUUUGAAAUUUUGCCUCCAAUGCAUUUAUCCUUUUUAAACGCCAAGGUUUUGUUUGGUAACAACUGGAAAAAAAUUCCCGCUUCGUCUGCGUUGAAAACAUCAGAAGGAUCAUAAGACCUAAUUGCAUCCGAUAUUUUUUCUGAUUUCCAGUCAUUCACAGCUUUUAAAUCAACAGAGUUAGCUUCACCACAAAUUUGCUUUGCAACAAUACCAUAACGUUCCUUGAAUCGAUUCAACCAACCAAAACUUGCUUGAAAAUUUUCGUUUCCAAAAGUUCGUGCAAAUUCUAAUGCCUUUUCACGAAUGAAGGGCCUGGAAAUUGGAAUGUUUCGAGAGCGAAUAUCCUGGAACCAUGUAAAAACAGCUGCAUCUACAUCUUGAAAAUUUGAAAGUCGUAUCUUUUUUCUAUGUAAUCCGAUCAAUGCUGAUUGCACUUGCUGUUCCAACUUCGUUCGAUUUUUUAAAAAAGUAGAUGGGUAUAGUCCAUACUUUGUCGCAACGUCAGCUUUUUUUAUCCCAUGAUCAACUUCUGAAAUAAUUUCCAGUUUUUCCUUAAUGGAAAAUUGUUUACGCUUUUGACCACUCAUUAUGCUUAAGAAGGAAAAAAAAUGCUUGCAAACGUUGAAAGCAGACAAACCGAUUUAACUAACCUUCUCCUAUUGAAGUUGCACACCACUCUGGUAAUUUUCUGAAACUUGUUUACACCCCUUUUACACCUUGAGCUCUUAGAACAGCUCUCCCCCCCUAUUUAGUCUGUUGUAAUUCAAGGAAGGAAUUGUUCUGCUAAGGGUGGUCACUUCUAAUCUAUCAUUCUUGACAAGCCCUUUCUAUUGAAUAGAAUUCCCUCUUUUAAAAGCAUGUGUAUUUUGACUUCUUAAAACAUGAAUGAAUCAAUGCAAGGGUCAACUCAGGGUGGUCUCUUUCCAGUGAUUCUUCUUUUUUUGACAGGUUUUUCACAUUUGAAACUUAUUAGUAUUUUAAGGGUGAUAAAACAUUUCAUUUCUGAGAAUAUUUUUGAAGAAAUGUGACUUGUUCAUCAAAGAAAAUAAGACCUGGUGUUCAUUUUCGCCUUCGCUAAAUCGGAUAAUUGAUUUCGUAAUACCGGUAUUUUUUAUACAUUGUUCACAUGGAAAUACAUUUGGGGAUUCGGAAAAUAUUAGUUACUUUGAAAUUUCGAAUUUUGCAAAAACGGGAUUCGACUGUAUUUUAAAUACUGACAGUUUAUUCAUUUUUGUAGAAAAUUUAUAUUUUCGUCAGGAGUUCUUUAUUUUUUAAUUUUGUAAACUCAGACUGAACUGAAUAAGUUUUCCAUUCAGAGUAGCGAAAGAGAGAGAGAGAGGAAUUUUCAUAUUGCAAGAUAUAAAUAUCAACAGUUAUAUUGACAUUUUUAAAAAUAAAUAAACUUAACGAUAAAAAGUGUUCUCAGUUUGAAUUGUUAAAAUUCUCGUCAGCAAAUAAAAUAAUUUCUCUGCAAUUUUUCUUGUUUUAUUGUUGUGAUGCACAAUCUGUAUUCCUUAGAUUAAAUUUUCUUUAAAGUGCUGAUGAUUAUUUUCAAGUUGAGGUGGUACUACACUUGUACAUUUUAAAAGCAAAAUGUUCUGUGUUUCAGUUUAAAAUAUUGCUUUUUAAGGGAAGAAAAAUAAAACAAGGAUUUAAGAGAAACAAUUACGUGGUUAGGUGAUCGGAAGCGGGGGGAGGCAGACACUCCCUGUUUUCUUUUUUUAAUUUUCGUAUGGAACAAUUCCUCAACAGAAAGAAUUAAUAAUAUAUAUUAAUAAUACAUAUUAAUCUUAUAGAGAAAAAGGAUUUUAUUUUUCUGCGCAGCAAAUCAAAACAUUCAUGUAAGCAUUAUUUCCAAGUGUAUAAGUAUAAAAAGAACACAAAUAAGUUUUGACUUAAUGCAAUUAUUUAAUUCCGUGAGUUCGUUUAUUGUCGGCAGUUAACUAAAAGUUUUGGUUAUUUAAUUUAUUUUUCCUUUAUAACACCAGAAAUUGUUUUUAAUAAUUUUAAAAUAUAUAUUGAUCUUAAUUUGAAGACAUCUUACUGUCUCGCAUUUUUAAAAAGAAUCAUUUAAGUGACCUUGUUUCGAUUCCCUCAAGUUAAGGGAAAAAGAGAGGGGAUAGCGAACGCUUAGCACUUUAAACCCCCCUCCCCAUUCUAAGAAAUAUUCUUUCAACCAGGUGGUCAUUGCAGUUAUGCCACGGGCCAAAAGAAUCAAUGGUCGCCAAGAAAUUUGAAAAAAAGGGGAUAAAUGAUGAAAAUGGUCCCCAACUUCAAAAGGGGUCUCAUUUCUGUUUUAUUGCAAGGACAAGAAAUGCUGGAAGAAAAAAUCUUUUGGAAGAAAGGUCAAGAUAAAAGUCUGGAGAUUCUGACUGGAGAGACUGAAAAUAGCCAUCAACAGAAAAAGAAAAGAAGUCUGGAAAUUCUGACUGGAGAGUGUGAAUGAAAACUGUUGGAAGAACUAGAAUAGCCAUCAACAGAAAAGAAGGAAAACUAGGUUCAUUCGGGAAUUGGAUGAUUAUGAAGAAGAUAUUGUACAGCUUUUAUGUAUUUGUUUGUAUUUUGAUUUGUUUUACGGAAAUAAAAUAAUACUCUUUCUUAAA